ACUUGCAAACUAAGGGGAAUGAGCUUCCUUCUGAAUGUUUAUGAAGGAGAGGCCACUGUGAGGAUAGACAGUGAAGUGCAACUACAGCCCGCAAAUGAAAAUGAAUAAUAUUAAUCCAGCCCCUCAAGGCAGUCAUCUGUCUUAGACCUAUUGGAAUCCUGGAUCACUGUGGGAAAUGAAAGAUACUUCGAUGGAAUCAGCAGCCAUUGUUGAUCCAAUGCCAACUCCAAGACUGGAACGUCGCAAUGAUAGUUCCAAGGCGGAAAUUUGACGUAAUUCUUUUCGACACAGUUUUACAGGUCUGGAUGCCCAUUUUAAUUCUUCUGAAAGCAUGCCUCCUCCUUCUGGCUUCAGGACUCCAUCUCCAGCCUCUUGAUCUAAAAGUAAUCCCCAAACCAAAAAAUUAGAUACUAUUUCCUCAAAAUUAGGUAUUUUAAUCAAAACAUCUUAACAUAAAUACAUUAUUGUCACCCAAUAUG
rnacentral:antisense_RNA from 1 species